AAUACACUCAUAUUUCAUAUAUCAAGAGGUGUCAGACCAGCAAUUAAGUGAAAGGUACAAUAAGGUUGAGCUCGUGACAAUCGUUUAUAUUUCAAGUUCGACAGCAUCAUUGCCAAGGUUAGUAAGAUGGUGGAGACGGAAGCAGCUGUGGCGGGUUGGCUGCAAUAUGUUGAAAUAGCUAGCUAUUAUAUUUAAAAAAUAUGUCAUAUAUUUUGAGUAUGUAAAAUGCUAGUUAAAGAUUAUAUAUAUGAUAUUAUUAUUAUGCAAUAA